rnacentral:rRNA from 1 species
CCUACGGGAGGCAGCAGUGAGGAAUAUUGGUCAAUGGGCGCGAGCCUGAACCAGCCAAGUAGCGUGAAGGAUGACUGCCCUACGGGUUGUAAACUUCUUUUAUAAAGGAAUAAAGUGAGGCACGUGUGCCUUUUUGUAUGUACUUUAUGAAUAAGGAUCGGCUAACUCCGUGCCAGCAGCCGCGGUAAUACGGAGGAUCCGAGCGUUAUCCGGAUUUAUUGGGUUUAAAGGGAGCGUAGAUGGGUUGUUAAGUCAGUUGUGAAAGUUUGCGGCUCAACCGUAAAAUUGCAAUUGAUACUGGCAGGCUUGAGUACAGUUGAGGUAGGCGGAAUUCGUGGUGUAGCGGUGAAAUGCUUAGAUAUCACGAAGAACUCCGAUGGCGAAGGCAGCUUACCGGAGCCCGACUGACGCUGAGGCACGAAAGCGUGGGUAUCGAACAGGAUUAGAUACCCUUGUAGUC